GAUGAACGCUGGCGGCGUGCUUAACACAUGCAAGUCGAACGAUGAAGCUCCAGCUUGCUGGGGUGGAUUAGUGGCGAACGGGUGAGUAACACGUGAGUAACCUGCCCUUGACUCUGGGAUAAGCCUUGGGAACGGGGUCUAAUACCGGAUAGGAGCAUUCACCGCAUGGUGGGUGUUGGAAAGAAUUUCGGUCUUGGAUGGACUCGCGGCCCAUCAGCUUGUUGGUGAGGUAAUGGCUCACCAAGGCGACGACGGGUAGCCGGCCUGAGAGGGUGACCGGCCACACUGGGACUGAGACACGGACCAGACUCCUCCGGGAGGCAGCAGUGGGGAAUAUUGCACAAUGGGCGCAAGCCUGAUGCAGCGACGCCGCGUGAGGGAUGACGGCCUUCGGGUUGUAAACCUCUUUCAGUAGGGAAGAAGCGAAAGUGACGGUACCUGCAGAAGAAGCACCGGCUAACUACGUGCCAGCCGCCGCCGUAACAC
rnacentral:rRNA from 1 species